rnacentral:lncRNA from 1 species
CGAUCACAUUCAUCACACUCACCUGAAAUAUGGAUUUAUAAGAGAGGGGUGAGUAAUUUGGGGAAAUUACUCAGUGAGAACCAAACCAGACUACCUUCCCACUCAUUUAUUUUCCACCAACAUGUCAAGAAUAAAUCCAACAAGCAACACACAAGCAUCCUAGCGAUGCACAAACAACUAGCCAGCAAUGAUGUCUCCAACCCGCCUAUCACACAAGGCCACACCUCCCAGUCACACAGCUUCACAAUAUUUAGUUCCUCUGUAACACCCCGGUCCUGGGUUCCAAAGGAAACCAGACUAAACCGGCAGUAUUAUCUAACCUAACCAAUAAUUCCUGAAUAAUCCUUAAAUCUUAUUCCAAAUCGGGAUCCUCUAGAGUCGACUUCAAUUCGGUUGAGCGCUGAAUAAAUCCGAAAAUAAUCAGAAAACAAUAUCUAAAAAGAAAAUACAAAAAAAAGUUCUUAAAGCGAUAAAAAUCUUCCUCCAUCUCUAAAAGCACACCACACUAGAGCUACUCGUCUAGUUCCUCCCAGACAUCAUCACAAUCACAUUCAUCACACUCACCCGAAAUAUGGAUUUAAAAGAGAGGGGUGAGUAAUUUGGGGAAAUUACUCAGUGAGAACCAAACCAGGCUCCCUUCCCACUCAUUUAUUUUCCACCAACAUGUCAAGAAUAAAUCCAACAAGCAACACACAAGCAUCCUAGCGAUGCACAAACAACUAGCAAGCAAUGAUGUCUCCAACCCGCCUAUCACACAAGGCCACACCUCCCAGUCACACAGCUUCACAAUAUUCAGUCCCUUUGUAACACCCCGGUCCUGGGUUCCAAAGGAAACCAGACUAAACCGGCUGUAUUAUCUAACCUAACCAAUAAUUCCUGAAUAAUCCUUAAAUCUUAUUCCAAAUCAAACCAAAUCCAGUCUUACAAUAGAAAUGAAUAACUUGAAUAAAUCCCAAAAUAAUCAGAAAACAAUAUCUUAAAAGAAAAUACAAAAAAAAGUUCCUAAAGCGAUAAAAAUCUUCCUCCAUCUCUAAAAGCACACCACACUAGAGCUACUCGUCUAGUUCCUCCCAGACAUCAUCACAAUCACAUUCAUCACACUCACCUGAAAGACGGAUUUAAAAGAGAGGGGUGAGUAAUUUGGGGAAAUUACUCAGUGAGAACCAAACCAGGCUCCCUUCCCACUCAUUUAUUUUCCACCAACAUGUCAAGACUAAAUCCAACAAGCAACACACAAGCAUCCUAGCGAUGCACAAACAACUAGCCAGCAAUGAUGUCUCCAACCCGCCUAUCACACAAGGCCACACCUCCCAGUCACACAGCUUCACAAUAUUUAGUUCCUCUGUAACACCCCGGUCCUGGGUUCCAAAGGAAACCAGACUAAACCGGCAGUAUUAUCUAACCUAACCAAUAAUUCCUGAAUAAUCCUUAAAUCUUAUUCGAAAUCAAACCAAAUCCAGUCUUACAAUAGAAAUGAAUAACUUGAAUAAAUCCGAAAAUAAUCAGAAAACAAUAUCUUAAAAGAAAAUACAAAAAAAAGUUCUUAAAGCGAUAAAAAUCUUCCUCCAUCUCUAAAAGCACACCACACUAGAGCAACUCGUCUAGUUCCUCCCAGACAGCAUCACAAUCACAUUCAUCACACUCACCUGAAAUAUGGAUUUAUAAGAGAGGGUUGAGUAAUUUGGGGAAAUUACUCAGUGAGAACCAAACCAGACU